AGUAAAAUGGCCGAUCAAUAGGUGGCGGAUUGUAAAUCCGUUUACGGAGGUGUUAAUCCUUCUUUUACUA
rnacentral:tRNA from 1 species